GACGAACGCUGGCGGCGUGCUUAACACAUGCAAGUCGAACGGAAAGGCCCUGCUUUUGUGGGGUGCUCGAGUGGCGAACGGGUGAGUAACACGUGAGUAACCUGCCCUUGACUUUGGGAUAACUUCAGGAAACUGGGGCUAAUACCGGAUAGGAGCUCCUGCUGCAUGGUGGGGGUUGGAAAGUUUCGGCGGUUUGGGAUGGACUCGCGGCUUAUCGGCUUGUUGGUGGGGUAGUGGCUUACCAAGGCUUUGACGGGUAGCCGGCCUGAGAGGGUGACCGGCCACAUGGGGACUGAGGUACGCCCCAGACUCCAACGGGAGGCAGCAGUGGGGAAUAUUGCACAGUGGGCGGAAGCCUGAUGCAGCAACGCCGCGUGCGGGAUGACGGCCUUCGGGUUGUAAACCGCUUUCGCCGGAGACGAAGCGUGAGUGACGGUAAUGGGUAAAGAAGCACCGGCUAACUACGUG
rnacentral:rRNA from 1 species